rnacentral:lncRNA from 1 species
AGGGCGGCCACGUCAGCAGCCACGUCAGCAGGCCCAGUCAGCAGUCCCGGCCAACCAGGGCCUGCCACGUGGCAAGACCGCGUCACUCCAAAAGGAGCCACGUUGGCGAUCCGCGUGGGUGCGAUCUGACGGCCCAGAUCAAUCACGCGAUCGGACGGCCCAGAUUCAAUCGCACGGACGGCCCAGAUUCAAUCAAAAACGAACGGC